UUUAAAAGUUCAUAUUAAAAAAAAWGAUUGUGACCYCGAUGUUGAAUUAUAUUUUCUUUNUUAAUGCAAUAAUUAUAAAAGUAGAUCUGUNCGAUCUUUAAAAUAUWACAUGAUUUGAGUUCAAACCGGUAUAAACCAGGUUGGUUUCUAUCUUUUUAUAAAUAUAUAUAUAUAUAUAUAUAUAUAUAAAUUUUUCAAGUACGAAAGGAAAAAAAAAUUUUUAUUUUAAUUAAUUAGCAAUUAAUAUGCAUUAGAUUUAGAAUCUAAAUAAACUAUU
rnacentral:misc_RNA from 1 species